UACCGAAGCUGUGGAUUGUCCUUUGGACAAUGGUAGGAGAGCGUUCUAAGGGCGUUGAAGCAUGAUCGUAAGGACAUGUGGAGCGCUUAGAAGUGAGAAUGCCGGUGUGAGUAGCGAAAGACGGGUGAGAAUCCCGUCCACCGAUUGACUAAGGUUUCCAGAGGAAGGCUCGUCCGCUCUGGGUUAGUCGGGUCCUAAGCUGAGGCCGACAGGCGUAGGCGAUGGAUAACAGGUUGAUAUUCCUGUACCACCUAUAAUCGUUUUAAUCGAUGGGGGGACGCAGUAGGAUAGGCGAAGCGUGCGAUUGGAUUGCACGUCUAAGCAGUAAGGCUGAGUAUUAGGCAAAUCCGGUACUCGUUAAGGCUGAGCUGUGAUGGGGAGAAGACAUUGUGUCUUCGAGUCGUUGAUUUCACACUGCCGAGAAAAGCCUCUAGAUAGAAAAUAGGUGCCCGUACCGCAAACCGACACAGGUAGUCAAGAUGAGAAUUCUAAGGUGAGCGAGCGAACUCUCGUUAAGGAACUCGGCAAAAUGACCCCGUAACUUCGGGAGAAGGGGUGCUCUUUAGGGUUAACGCCCAGAAGAGCCGCAGUGAAUAGGCCCAAGCGACUGUUUAUCAAAAACACAGGUCUCUGCUAAACCGUAAGGUGAUGUAUAGGGGCUGACGCCUGCCCGGUGCUGGAAGGUUAAGAGGAGUGGUUAGCUUCUGCGAAGCUACGAAUCGAAGCCCCAGUAAACGGCGGCCGUAACUAUAACGGUCCUAAGGUAGCGAAAUUCCUUGUCGGGUAAGUUCCGACCCGCACGAAAGGCGUAACGAUUUGGGCACUGUCUCAACGAGAGACUCGGUGAAAUCAUAGUACCUGUGAAGAUGCAGGUUACCCGCGACAGGACGGAAAGACCCCGUGGAGCUUUACUGUAGCCUGAUAUUGAAAUUCGGCACAGCUUGUACAGGAUAGGUAGGAGCCUUUGAAACGUGAGCGCUAGCUUACGUGGAGGCGCUGGUGGGAUACUACCCUAGCUGUGUUGGCUUUCUAACCCGCACCACUUAUCGUGGUGGGAGACAGUGUCAGGCGGGCAGUUUGACUGGGGCGGUCGCCUCCUAAAAGGUAACGGAGGCGCUCAAAGGUUCCCUCAGAAUGGUUGGAAAUCAUUCAUAGAGUGUAAAGGCAUAAGGGAGCUUGACUGCGAGACCUACAAGUCGAGCAGGGUCGAAAGACGGACUUAGUGAUCCGGUGGUUCCGCAUGGAAGGGCCAUCGCUCAACGGAUAAAAGCUACCCCGGGGAUAACAGGCUUAUCUCCCCCAAGAGUUCACAUCGACGGGGAGG
rnacentral:rRNA from 1 species